rnacentral:pre_miRNA from 1 species
UGUUAAAAUUUUUAUCUAUUUAUAUUAUUAAAAAUUGAUGUCAUCGACAGAAUACCCAUAAAAUAAUAUGUGAUAUGGCAUGUAUAUCUCAUACUGAUGCAUAGUAAUAAACCUUUAAUAAUAAAAAUGAAUAAAAUUUUAAAAA